rnacentral:lncRNA from 1 species
CAGCCCAGUAGGUCUCAGCCUUAUUUUACCCAGCUUCUAUUCAAGAAGGAAUUGCUCUGGUUCAAAUGCCUCUGAAGGGAAUAAGGAAGUUCUUUAUGUAUUGAUAGGAAAUUACCACCAAAAUAUACUGUUAAUGAAAAAAGCAAGGAACAGAACACUAUAUAUAGUAUGUUAGUAUUUAUGUACACAAAGGGGUAAAAUCUUAUAUAGGUAUUUGCCUGUAAAUGCAUACACUGUAUCUGGAAGGAUGCCUAAGAAUUAAGUGACAAUAGUUGGUUGUCAAAAGAGGAACUAGGGUGGAAUGGAAAAUUACCACAGUACAUAUUUCUUACCUUUUGAAUAUUGAACAAUAUGAACAAAUUAUUUGAAAACGAAUAAAAACUAAAAUGAAUAAAAUACAGAACCAUUGGCUAAUGAAUACACUGACCUUUAACUUAGCAAAUUGAAGAAAAUCUUAGUUGCCCUGGCAUCUUGAUUCAAUUUUUGGAGAAACAAAAGGAAGUAUGAUGUUAUUCAGAGGCAUUGGCCAUUUAAGUUAUUCAUUACCCUAAGGGUUGACAGAAUUAGAAAAAUCUACGUAUAAAGUCAAGGACGGUGAUAUAAAUUCAUGGAUAUAAUUUAAUGGUUAUCUUUAAGGAAAACAAGGGGUAUUGGGUCACAUCUCUGCUCUUAGAAGGUGAUGCCACAGAAUAAUGAACAGAUCAUAUAAACUCCCAUAGUGCCACUGUUAGCCAGAUAUGAGCUGGAAUUCUGUUCCUCAGCCACUUUCUCUGGUGACUUCUGGCAAAGCUAAACACUAUAGGGGCUGCACGUGGUACUCAUGGUGGCUCUGAUUUCCACCUAAGGCUGAUAAAUUCCCUUCUUAACUGUCCACAUUGAAGUGAAUUGAAAUUCUUUGUGACUAAACUUGAUUGGCUCUAGGGUAUUUGAACCCAAGAAUUAUUUUACUCUUUGUAUAGUUCUCAAUUUGUACUUCUGAUGUGUUGCCCUAUUCAGGUACCCUAAGAACCUGUGUAUAAAUUAAGGAUUUCUUAGGUGACUUGGCUCGUUCAAUGUUAUGCAACCAAGAGAUAUUUGUUGAACAUCAACUAUGCCAAGUGAAUGUGGGGAUGAGUAAGAGCCAGCUACUAUGACUUCAGGGGGCCCAUACAGUCUAGCAGCAAGGUCAAGAGGGUGUGUCUUGCAGAGCAGGAGCUAACUGCUAGGCUGGAAAAUACGGGAGUUUUAGAAUGCUUUGGAAUUCAGGACCCUGAAUUGCCUGGAAGUGUUUUAAAGUGGGAAUCUAGUCAGGUGAAGAUCGAAAGCAAACAGAAGUCGCUGUGAGUAGGUAAGUACAAGAAAUAGAUUUGAGGUGAAAGAAAGAGAAUUUUGGAGGCUGGGAGUGAAUGACUGCAGCUGCUAAGCUACUUUGCACUUUCUAGUCUAGGUCUUUGGGCAGUGAUACUACAUAUAGGUAUUCAGCUGCCAUCCAGAAGGCUAUGGAAUCACUCCAAAGGCUUCAGUAGUGCUCUGACAUCAUUCAUGACUCUCUUCUCUAUCAUCUUAUAUCUAUAUAGUCUUAUAAAAACCCUACCAAACUGUUCUUGUUAAGAGUACAGUACUUGGUGGUAGAAGCAGAAAACCUUUCCUCUUAAUUAACCAUACAUUCAUAAUUGUUAAAGUCAGAGAAAAAUAAAUUAUUCAACACUGACAUUUUAUUUUCUGAAGUUUUAUCAUUUUUACAAAACAAAACAAAAUGAAACAAAAAGCAGGUAUCAAAAACAGCAAAGAGUUUAUAGAAUUUCUGCACCAGUUUGCACAUAAGUCAGUGAUUACAAAACUGGCAUCCAAUGUAAAUACUAAGCACAAGCUCACUUCCCUCUUGGUCAGGUGGUUUGUUUUAGAGCUACUCGAUAUUUAUAACUUUUUAUAAGCACCGGUCAUUUUUUGAGAACUGAUUUGGUUUGUCCAACAAAGUAAACAAUUUUUUGCUGUGUGGCAGUUUCUUUUUUUAGAAAACACUGAGCUAAAACACAGAAUGUGUAUUUGUUUGGAUCUGAACCAAAUCUUUUGAGAUCCCAACUACCCUGAAGAACACUGAAGACAUUUACGGGGCAUAUUAAAUGGUAUCUUAAAUACUAGUUGUAUACCUCAUAAUGUCUAAGGCAGCUAUUAUAUUUCUAAAGAAAGUAGCAUUUCAUUCAGAGGCUGCCCAGAGUUUAAAUUACACCAUAGUUUUUCUUUCUUUCUGCAAAUCAUUCUUUCUGAUUUGCAGUUUUUUCCAAACAGAGCCAUAUUAGUGGAACAAAAGUUUGAUGUUCAUGCCCAACAAGCUCUGAUAUUUUAUGGAUACAUUUGUAUAAAGCAAGACUUCUUGCUCUGAACCCUGGGUGACCACAAAUAAAUUGAGGGGCCAUGAUUAUUGGAUGCUGAGAGAAAG